rnacentral:rRNA from 1 species
GAUCCUGGCUCAGAUUGAACGCUGGCGGCAGGCCUAACACAUGCAAGUCGAACGGUAACAGGAAGAAGCUUGCUUCUUUGCUGACGAGUGGCGGACGGGUGAGUAAUGUCUGGGAAACUGCCUGAUGGAGGGGGGAUAACUACUGGAAACGGUAGCUAAUACCGCAUAACGUCGCAAGACCAAAGAGGGGGACCGUUCGGGUCCGUCUUGCCAUCGGAUGUGCCCACGAUGGGAGUUAGCUUGUUGGUGGGGUAACGG